AGUUACGGUGCCAUUACAAGGCUUAAUAGGGAAUCCGGUGAAAGUCCGGAACUGUCCCCGCAACUGUAAAUGCGAACGAAAAGAGAUUAACCCACUGUACUUCUUUGUACGGGAAGGGAUCUGAGUAGGAAGAUGCAUAAGUCAGGAGACCUGCCAUAACUUGUU
rnacentral:ncRNA from 1 species